rnacentral:rRNA from 1 species
GGGAGGGGAGCAAGCGUUGUUCGGAAUCAUUGGGCGUAAAGCGGGGGGUGUAGGUGGCUUGGGAAAGUCGGGAUGUGAAAUCCCAGGGCUCAACCCUGGAACUGCAUUCGAAACUUCCCUGGCUAGAGUCCCGGAGAGGAAGGCAGAAUUCCCGGUGUAGAGGUGAAAUUCGUAGAUAUCGGGAGGAAUACCAGUGGCGAAGGCGGCCUUCUGGACGGUGACUGACACUCAGACCCGAAAGCGUGGGUAGCGAACAGGAUUAGAUACCCUGGUAGUCCACGCCGUAAACGUUGAGUGCUCGUCGUCGCGGGUAUUGACCCCUGCGGUGACCAAGCUAACGCAAGAAGCACUCCGCCUGGGGAGUACGGCCGCAAGGCUA